CCUACGGGAGGCAGCAGUGAGGAAUAUUGGUCAAUGGGCGAAAGCCUGAUGCAGCAACGCCGCGUGAGCGAUGAAGGCCUUCGGGUCGUAAAGCUCUGUCCUCAAGGAAGAUAAUGACGGUACUUGAGGAGGAAGCCCCGGCUAACUACGUGCCAGCAGCCGCGGUAUUACGUCGGGGGCUCGCGUUAUCCGGAAUUACUGGGCGUAAAGGGUGCGUAGGUGGUUUCUUAAGUAAGAGGUGAAAGGCUACGGCUAAACCGUAGUAAGCCUUUGAAACUGGGAAACUUGAGUGCAGGAGAGGAGGGUAGAAUUCCUGGUGUAGCGGUGAAAUGCGUAGAGAUUAGGAGGAACACCAGUUGCGAAGGCGGCUCUCUGGAC
rnacentral:rRNA from 1 species